CAGAAAUUUAAAGGAAAAAAAAUACAUAUUCAAAGAACAUAGUGAGGUAUAAAAAAGUAUUCUCUUUUGUUUUUGUUUUUCCUCCUCGUCUUGCUAUAGAGUUCCUCUACUAGUAAAUAUUGCAAUAGCCAGGCCUCAUGAACUGGGGGGGCUGUCCCACUUGCAGGGGGCUCACGUCACUUCAGUAGGGGGCAAAUCGGCUGUAGCCACCUCGGUAUAAACUCGCCACAGCGCCAACUCCGUAGCUAGCGGCAGGGGCAAGGGCAUGGUAAGGAUCUGCUGUGUACACCCUGCCAUAACCAUCGCUGUAAGCUGCUGCAGCGGCUGCAGCGGCCGUGGCUGCUGUUGCAGUAGCAGGCUGUGCAUAUCUGUAGGCUGCGUAUCCACCCUGAGGUAUUUUAGCGCUAAUGAUUGGUUCCUGUAAGACUAUUCCUGGGUAGGCAGGGAUGGCUGUAGGAGGUACUGCCCGGACUGCCCCAUAAACCGUCCUUCCUCGGCCCCUCAGGUGGGCUCCCCGAAACGCGGCUGCUGUAGUGGCUGCAGUUGGAUAGGGGAAGCCUGGAAUGAUUAAAGGAAUGUAAGUGUUAAUACCCCCCCUUCCUGACAGGGGCACUGCGGCGUCAUUGCCCAGCGAGACAUCUGCUUGAAAGCUGGACGCAUUUGCAUAUGGCGUGACCAUCUUCUUAUUGGUCAUCACUCGUGCUGUGGCGUUGUUAACCUCGAUUUUACGGCCCUCUACCACGGUGCCGUGUAAUUUCUCCCUGGCCCUGUCUGCAUCAGCACUAUUCUCGAAAGUUACGAACCCGAAUCCCUUGGAGCCGCGCUCGUUAAAGAUUAUCUCUACAUCAAGGAUUUUGCCAAAUUGCCCAAACAUCUGUCGAAGGUCAGGAUCUCGAAAGCGGAAGGGAAUGUUAGACACAUGAAGUCGUUUUGGAGUGGAUUUGCUCUCGGUGUUCUCACUGCUCUGUGUCUGUGAUUGCUGUCCAUCUGUCUGUGCCCCUCCUUCUGUCUGUGCGAGAGAUCCGUUCUGCGUGCUGGCUGUGGUCGUGCUCUGCUCGCCGUGUGGCUGCGUGCUCCCGUAGAGCGUCAGAUUGUGCUCGCUGGUCUGGCCUGCAUAGUCCUGAGUGUGUGGCACCCCAUACUCUGUGGGAAUCCCGUUCUGUGGGGGUGGCGGAAAUGGGAUUGUGGUGAAUGGCUGCACCAUUGCAUCAGGAGUUGCUGCUGGCUCCUGGUUACCUUGAUUGUCUCUUGCUGGGUAUCCAUGAUAACCUGAAGUCAGAGGCUCGUUCUGCAUGCCGCCGCCCUCCGCCUCCGCCUCCGUCCGCAGCCGCUUGCUGUGGCCGCCCUCGGCGCCGUCCCCGCCGGGCAUGGGUUGCUCCAGCUCCGGCUCCCGCUUCACGCCGCGGGCGGCCCCGCCGCCGCCGGUCAGGAGCUGCGGCUGUGGCUGCUGCUGCUGCUGCUGCGGGGGCUGGCCGCCCUCCGCCAUCCGCGCCGCCGGAGCCCCGGCCGCCCCCCGCCGCGGUCGCCCCGCUCUGUCACCGCGAUCGCCCGGCCCCGCCGGAGGAGAAGAGGAGGACGAGGAGGAGCGGGCGGAGGAGCUGCGUGCGGGCGCAGCGGGCUCCGACCCACCGGAGCGCCUCGGUCACGGGCUCGGCGGCGGCCGGGGAGGGGCCGAAGCCCCUCGGCAAUCUCCGGAGGUGCCGAAGCCGCGCGACCCCCGCUCGGC
rnacentral:lncRNA from 1 species